UUACUUUAACACUUUAUUCCAUCUCAAUGACAAACUGUCCUUCCUUCUUGACAUCUGCGUUUGUGUCUAGCAUUAACAUCUAUAUUGUGAGUAUAGGAAUAUGGGGUUGGGUGGGUUCCCCUUCCUCAUCUUGAUACCAAUCACCAAAUGAUUAAUAUUGACACACCCUCCUUCUGCCAAAAAUAGGAUGGCCCAGGUCAACAGCACCUCAACACUUGAGACAUAUAAGGUGAGGCUUGGUGAUGUCACAAGGCAAAGCCUGGUGAUAUCAUAGAAUUGCCUACCCUUGUGAAUGUAAAAUAUGACACAAAGGCCCAAUAGCAAAGAGAUGAAGCUAGAGUGACAAAGAUCCAGAAGUAUGGAAGAAACAUCAAGAAAUCAACAGGAAGAAGAAUUGACACCUAGGCAAUUUGUAAAUGCUAUCUGAAAGUCAAGUCAAAAGCUAUUCACGAAGAGUCCCGCAGCCCAGAUGAACAGGAGGCAGCACAAAAUGAAAACGUAAAAUCAGACUGUGAACUUACAAAGAAGCAUUCAGCUUAAAGCUUCAAGAACACUAAAGAGCAUUAAUAACACUUUGUCUGAUCACUAGACAGUUGCCAAACGAAAGGCGUCAUAUGGCACAACUGAAGAGGCGAAGUCUAACCCAGAAACUGCAAGUCAACUUACCCUAAGCAACACUGCAGACAGUUUUUGCUCCAUUUGCUUCAAACCACACGGGGUGGAAAUCCACUGCCAGUCUGCAAUAUUGUUGCAUGAUAUAUUAAUAAGAUCGUUUUCCCCUCCUCAUUUUGCCAACAAAUGCCACGUAAAACCAGUCAUGGCAAAUCUAUGCUCAGUAUCAGAUUUGUGCAUCUUUCAACAUCUGCAAGACCAAAAAGGUCAAGGAUUCCAACACAUCCUUCCUUUUAUUUUAUAGCAGGGUUAUACACAAAAUGUAGUUAUUAGUAAACAGGUGUGUGGCAACUGUUUCCUCUCUCUCUCUAAGAGGAACCCUUUUGGAAACCGACCCAUUACACACAUAAAUUGUUGCGGGAACCUCUCAAAGCCAGCACAAAAGCUUCUCAAGAAAUCUUCACUGGGUCCGGCCGGUUGGGUCCUGCCAUAGGU